rnacentral:tRNA from 4 species
CGGGGUGUAGCGCAGGUGGCUAGCGCGCAACGUUCGGGACGUUGAGGUCGCAGGUUCAAGUCCUGCCACCCCGACCA